rnacentral:rRNA from 1 species
UAGGGAAUCUUCCGCAAUGGACGCAAGUCUGACGGAGCAACGCCGCGUGAGUGAAGAAGGAUUUCGGUUCGUAAAACUCUGUUGUUAGAGAAGAACAGCGCAUAGAGUAACUGUUAUGCGUGUGACGGUAUCUAACCAGAAAGCCACGGCUAACUACGUGCCAGCAGCCGCGGUAAUACGUAGGUGGCAAGCGUUGUCCGGAUUUAUUGGGCGUAAAGCGAGCGCAGGCGGUCAAUUAAGUCUGAUGUGAAAGCCCCCGGCUCAACCGGGGAGGGUCAUUUGAAACUGGUUGACUUGAGUGCAGAAGAGGAGGGUGGAAUUCCAUGUGUAGCGGUGAAAUGCGUAGAUAUAUGGAGGAACACCAGUGGCGAAGGCGACUCUCUGGUCUGUAACUGACGCUGAGGUUCGAAAGCGUGGGUAGCAAACAGG